rnacentral:rRNA from 1 species
GACGAACGCUGGCGGCGUGCUUAACACAUGCAAGUCGAACGGAAAGGCCCUGCUUUUGUGGGGUGCUCGAGUGGCGAACGGGUGAGUAACACGUGAGUAACCUGCCCUUGACUUUGGGAUAACUUCAGGAAACUGGGGCUAAUACCGGAUAGGAGCUCCUGCUGCAUGGUGGGGGUUGGAAAGUUUCGGCGGUUGGGGAUGGACUCGCGGCUUAUCAGCUUGUUGGUGGGGUAGUGGCUUACCAAGGCUUUGACGGGUAGCCGGCCUGAGAGGGUGACCGGCCACAUUGGGACUGAGAUACGGCCCAGACUCCUACGGGAGGCAGCAGUGGGGAAUAUUGCACAAUGGGCGGAAGCCUGAUGCAGCAACGCCGCGUGCGGGAUGACGGCCUUCGGAUUGUAAACCGCUUUCGCCUGUGACGAAGCGUGAGUGACGGUAAUGGGUAAAGAAGCACCGGCGAACUACGU